rnacentral:rRNA from 1 species
GAUCCUGGCUCAGGAUGAACGCUAGCUACAGGCUUAACACAUGCAAGUCGAGGGGAACGAUAGAGAAAGCUUGCUUUUCUAGGCGUCGACCGGCGCACGGGUGAGUAACGCGUAUCCAACCUGCCAUCACUUGGGGAUAACCUUGCGAAAGUAAGACUAAUACCCAAUGACGUCUCUAGAAGACAUCUGAAAGAGAUUAAAGAUUUAUCGGUGAUGGAUGGGGAUGCGUCUGAUUAGCUUGUUGGCGGGGUAACGGCCACCAAGGCGACGAUCAGUAGGGGUUCUGAGAGGAAGGUCCCCCACAUUGGAACUGAGACACGGUCCAAACUCCUACGGGAGGCAGCAGUGAGGAAUAUUGGUCAAUGGGCGAGAGCCUGAACCAGCCAAGUAGCGUGAAGGAUGAAGGUCCUACGGAUUGUAAACUUCUUUUAUACGGGAAUAAAGUAUCCUACGUGUAGGAUUUUGUAUGUACCGUAUGAAUAAGCAUCGGCUAACUCCGUG